rnacentral:sRNA from 1 species
UCUGAGCCCUUGAGGCCUCCAGUGGAUUU